rnacentral:misc_RNA from 1 species
UACGUAGGGGGCGAGCGUUGUCCGGAAUUAUUGGGCGUAAAGGGCGUGUAGGCGGUUGCGUAAGUCAGGGGUGAAAACCCAGAGCUCAACUCUGGGACGGCCUCUGAAACUGCGUGACUUGAGUGCUCUAGAGGGCAGUGGAAUUGCCGGUGUAGCAGUGAAAUGCGUAGAGAUCGGCAGGAACACCAGUGGCGAAGGCGACUGCCUGGGGAGUAACUGACGCUGAGGCGCGAAAGCUGGGGGAGCAAACGGG